rnacentral:lncRNA from 1 species
UAGUUGCAAUCAAGCACAUCCAAUCAUAUGUGAUUUCCAAUUUUUUUUGUUACAAGUAGUAUUUUUAUAAAUAUUUUUAAAUAUAAUGAAAAUAUAAAAAUUUUAAAUUUUCUUAAAAUUAGUUUAUAUAAUUACACAUAUAUUUUAUCCAUUUCAAAUCUAUUAUUUCAUUAUUUUAAACAAAAUAAAAUGAAGAUUUACAGUAUAUAGUAGAAACUAUUAAAAGAAAUAAACUUAUAUUAUUAUUAUUAUGUAUGAAUCAUUGAAAAUAAAAAAUUUAAUUGAUUAAAGAGGACACAAAACAAGGGGGAUGGAGUGAGGCUCAGAUCUGCAAAAAGUGGAGACAAUGGAGGAUCCGAGUCCGCCAUGGCUGCAACCAUCUUGGUUACCCAGCCAAGAUACGGGUCAGAUCUCCCAAGCUCCCACUGGGGUUCGCUCCAAUUAGAAUACAUAUCCAUCAUCAUCAUAGCCUCCCUGUUUAUUUAAUUUACUUGCUCUUAGACAGAAACUCUGAAAUAGAUAGAAACAUGCAUGCAUCCAAUGCCAUCCAUACAUAAUGGAGAGUGGAAUGGAAUUGGUGGUGAAGGAAGUGAAGAAGAAAUAAUUAUACAGUAAAUUCCCCAGAAAGCAAACAGACAAUGCCUUUGAAUCAUCUGUAUCUGCAGCAGCAGCAACAACAACAACAAUAAGAGUAGAUUGUGUGAAACUGCAAAGGUCGGUUGAUUGAGAAUGGUGUUAGAAAUCAUGGGCUAAGCAGAGAGGGGCAACCGGCCUUGGAAACCAUUAUUAUCCUCUCCACCGCCUCAUUCUUCUAAGAGCAAACCCCAGCUUUUUGCUGCUCUCUUUACCAAACGCACUCCCUUAUAUGUUGAUGUUUUUUAGUAUUAUUUUUGUUGAGUAAUUGUCUUGGUUUUGGUGUUUAAUUUUUAAUUUCACUUGGUGGUUGAAAUGCUUGAGGGGAGGUUCAUGGUACUAGUUUGUGUAGACCGUGGAGAGAGAAUUCAAUUCUGUCAAAGAUGUGCCUUUGAUUUAUUCAUUUAUUAAAAAAAUCAAAGUUAUAAAUAUUUGAGGAAAAAAUAUAAUUGAAAGUAUAAGCCAGCUAUUGUGAUUAUAAUUAAAAUCAAAACGCAUAUAUUUUCGAUACAUAUGAUAUUUCUUUAUAGGUUUCAAAAAAAUAUAUGAUAUUUCUUUAUAUAAAUCUGUAAGUAAUUUUAUAUAUUACUGUUAUACAAAAUAUUUUUAUACUACUGAAUUAGAAGUCGAGAAGUAUAUUUCAUACAAGUGUGUACUACGAGAUGGCAUGGACAACAGACUAGAUUUAAUUAUUUUUUGAAGAUAAACAUACCAUUUUUUUUUUGUCCUGAGGUAUUUCUAAUUUAGAUUAUCUUUUUCCUAAUUAAAAUAAACUCCUCCAGAUAGCAUAGAUCAAAUAACAAAAAAAAGAUAAUUAGCAAAAAAAAAAUAACUAAAAAGAUUGAUUAGAUUCUUUCCUAGAAAAGAAUAACAAACAAAAUAGAUCAAAUGUCUAAAAAGAUUGAUCAGACUCUUUCCUAGAUCAGACUCUUUCCUAGAAAUGAGGGGUCGUUUAGUUCGUAGGUUUCUGGAAUGNGACAAUGGAGGAUCCGAGUCCGCCAUGGCUGCAACCAUCUUGGUUACCCAGCCAAGAUACGGGUCAGAUCUCCCAAGCUCCCACUGGGGUUCGCUCCAAUUAGAAUACAUAUCCAUCAUCAUCAUAGCCUCCCUGUUUAUUUAAUUUACUUGCUCUUAGACAGAAACUCUGAAAUAGAUAGAAACAUGCAUGCAUCCAAUGCCAUCCAUACAUAAUGGAGAGUGGAAUGGAAUUGGUGGUGAAGGAAGUGAAGAAGAAAUAAUUAUACAGUAAAUUCCCCAGAAAGCAAACAGACAAUGCCUUUGAAUCAUCUGUAUCUGCAGCAGCAGCAACAACAACAACAAUAAGAGUAGAUUGUGUGAAACUGCAAAGGUCGGUUGAUUGAGAAUGGUGUUAGAAAUCAUGGGCUAAGCAGAGAGGGGCAACCGGCCUUGGAAACCAUUAUUAUCCUCUCCACCGCCUCAUUCUUCUAAGAGCAAACCCCAGCUUUUUGCUGCUCUCUUUACCAAACGCACUCCCUUAUAUGUUGAUGUUUUUUAGUAUUAUUUUUGUUGAGUAAUUGUCUUGGUUUUGGUGUUUAAUUUUUAAUUUCACUUGGUGGUUGAAAUGCUUGAGGGGAGGUUCAUGGUACUAGUUUGUGUAGACCGUGGAGAGAGAAUUCAAUUCUGUCAAAGAUGUGCCUUUGAUUUAUUCAUUUAUUAAAAAAAUCAAAGUUAUAAAUAUUUGAGGAAAAAAUAUAAUUGAAAGUAUAAGCCAGCUAUUGUGAUUAUAAUUAAAAUCAAAACGCAUAUAUUUUCGAUACAUAUGAUAUUUCUUUAUAG